rnacentral:lncRNA from 1 species
ACAUCAUGGUACAUGUACUCCUCCAAUUGUACCAAUAGACACAUAGAUAGACGAAUUAAUUUUCGUCUGAUAUUAAUAUGACUCUCCUAGCUCCCAUCCGAAGCGUGAGUACCUUUCUUUUUUUCUUUCAAAAUUAAUAGUGACGACUGUCUUUCCAUCCGAUCGACUUUAGCAAUGACUUUACUCGAACAAGAUCUGUUUGCAAUUAAGUUUUCUCUAUGUCACGAAAGCGUUAGUUAUUAGAUUUCUUUAAAGUCAUGCAUGUGUUACGUGUUUGUGAAGUUUGUAGUUUUUUUUACUAAUAUGUGGUUGAGUAUUAAGGGUGAUGGACUCCAAAUUAAGCGUUGGUGUCAUUCUUUGGGUUGGAUGUAAGUCAUGAACAAGCUAAAUGGAUGAGAUUUUGAUUCUAGCAUCCACCUUUAAGCACUCCAUUGGAGAUGACCUUAGCACUACACUGACGAUAUAACAAAUUGUUG